AUGUCCAUUGCACAGGUAUUGAUGUAUAACUCAAAUAUCUGUUUUUUCAAGUCCCGAGGACUGGUCCAACUAAUGUUGACAAUUCUGAAUAUCACAAAGCAUUCUGCACUUGUGAAGUGGACUGAAAUAGCUGCAGAAGACCGUUUGGGCUUUCUCCCAGGGAUACAGGAUCAGUUUACACAGAUUCAUCAAGGAAAAAGUCUCCAGCUGUUACUCUCAAUGCUUCUGUCACAAGUUACCAUCUUACUGGACUGAAGGAAAAGACCACCUAUCGUGUGCAGAUUUCAGGAUUCACUAAUGCUGGAGAAGGACCUCUGACUCUUUCACAGCCUUUCAGCACUCCAAAAUAUGGUACUGUGGAACCUCUGUGCAUCUCCAUUACCCGGCAUGAAUUUCUGUUUUAUGUUCUCUCAAUGUUCACUCACAAGGUUUAUUAUUCAAUCCUCAGUUACUGAGAGCAAACACAAAAAAAUUGUUCCUCUGCAAAAGGUAAACUUUGUGUCACAGAACAAAGUAUUUCAUUAUAUACCUGUAUAUUACCUGUAUUUCAUUACCUAGUAUACAGGGAAUUUAUCUAGGAUUCUUCAUCUCUGAAACCUUUUUCAACAUUUUUGUGCUAGCUAUGUGCACAUAUCUUUAUUUAUUGGUAAUUACUGUCUAGAUUUCAGCAG
rnacentral:lncRNA from 1 species